rnacentral:misc_RNA from 1 species
CCUCCUUAUACGAUUUAGAACUUAUUUGUUCGUAGUGUCCACACAGAUGAUUGUUAGUUAGUUUUACCCUUUGGGUUUAACUGAUUAAUAUGCUCUUUAAAAAUUUGGAAAAGCUGAUAAUAAAAUUCGUAUGAAUAACAGUGUUAUUUGUACAGAGUUUUCAAAAGUAAAAAAGAAUGAUAGCAGUAUCAUUCAGUGCCAAUUUAAUCAUUUAUGAUUAAUUGGUAUCUACUUUAGUAUUCAAUAUUAACUUCUGGCGAAGUUAAACUGUCACUAACAAAGACCCGUUUGGGUUGUAUGGUUAAGUGACUAAGCGUACACGGUGGAUGC